rnacentral:lncRNA from 1 species
CUAGAGCCGCCACCAGAGGCGGACCUCCAAACCCCAGCCACGCCCGCCACCGCCUCCGCGUCCGCCAAGAAGAAACACUCCAAGAAACGCAAGGCCACCGAGGCCUCCACCGACGCCUCCACCGAGGCCGCCGGCGACGCCUCCACCGAGGCCGCCGGCGACGCCUCCACCGAGGCCGCCGGCGACGCCUCCACCGAGGCCGCCGCCGACGCCUCCACCAAGGCCGCCGUCGACGCCUCCCUCAACGUCACCGUCGAUGCCUCCCUCACAGGCGGCCGAACCGCAGCCGCCCCCGCCCCCGC